rnacentral:rRNA from 1 species
UACGGAGGGAGCUAGCGUUCUUCGGAAUUACUGGGCGUAAAGCGCAUGUAGGCGGUUUUAUAAGUCAGAUGUGAAAUCCCCGGGCUCAACCCAGGCAUUGCCUUUGAUACUGGAGAUCUGGAGUCUGGGAGAGGGUAGUGGAAUUCCGAGUGUAGCGGUGAAAUUCGUAGAUAUCGGGAGGAACACCAGUGGCGAAGGCGACGCACUGGCCCGAGACUGACGCUGAGAUGCGAAAGCGUGGGGAGCAAACAGG